AUUGAACGCUGGCGGCAGGCCUAACACAUGCAAGUCGAACGGUAACACGAAGAGGUUUGCCUCUUGGCUGUCGCGGGGCGGAGGGGAGAGAAAUGUGGAGGAAACUCCUUUAUGGAGGGGGUAAACUAGUGAAAACGGUAGCUAUAACCGCAAAUCGAUGCAAGCGCAAAGAGCAGGAGUGAAGGGCGGCUUGCCUUUGGCUGUGAGAAGAAGCCCCGCCGGAUUAGCUAGUUGGUGAGGUAACGGCUUACCAAGGCCACGAUUCGUAGCCGAGCUGAGAGGGUGAUCAGCCACACUGGAACUGAGACACGGUCCAGACUCCUACGGGAGGCAGCAGUGGGGAAUCUUGCGCAAUGGGCGAAAGCCUGAUGGAGCCACGCCGCGUGUGUGAAGAAGGCCUUCGGGUUGUAAAGCACUUUCAGCGGGGAAGAAGAGAUUUAUGUUAAUCCCUGCACGUCUUGACGGUACCCAAAGAAGAAGCCCCGGCUAACUACGUG
rnacentral:rRNA from 1 species